rnacentral:rRNA from 1 species
UACAGAGACUGCAAGCGUUAUUCGGAUUCACUGGGCGUAAAGGGUGCGCAGGCGGUUGGGUGUGUCAGAUGUGAAAUCCCGAGGCUCAACCUCGGAACUGCGUCUGAAACUACUCGACUAGGGUACUGGAGAGGGUAACGGAAUUCACGGUGUAGCAGUGAAAUGCGUAGAUAUCGUGAGGAACACCAGAGGCGAAGGCGGUUACCUGGACAGUUACUGACGCUCAGGCACGAUAGCAUGGGGAGCAAAAGGG